GCUGGGGUUCUGGUUUAACAUUGAUUUUCGAUUUGUUGUUAGACGGAUUGAAGUAUGGUGCCACAGGAAAUCUAUUUUUACUGUUCUGCACAACUAUGUCCUGUACAUUGAUGGAAAAAAAAACAUUUGUUUUCAUUCUGUCCUGGGCAGAUUUUUUUCUGUCCUAACCAGCACAACCUUCCUUUUCCUUAUGAAGUUAUGAGUUCCUGUAUGAAUAUCUU
rnacentral:lncRNA from 1 species